CUCCAACGCCCGCACCUAAACUUCAGCUGUUGCUUUCACGUUUUUAAGGGUUUUUUAGUCUUUUCAACCCUUAAGUCUGCCAACCAACAACUUAGAACCCUCAAGGGGCGUAAUUUCUCUCCUAAUUCAGUAAAUCAACAUCUCAAAUCCUCUCAAAUCAAACCCCAACACCCCCCUUCCCCCAAAAAAAUAAAUAAAUUAAGAACUCAUCCCUAAGGUCAAGAUCUGCAAGACACGGAAUAGGAUUCAGGGUCUGAGGCUCAGCCCAGAGUUCCUGCUAAGCCGUAGAAUCUGUCAGACAGAAGUGAGCAAUUGGUGAGCCUUCUUUAUUUCGGAAGGCCUUGUCUUUAGAACAUUAUUAUGUUAUUUUGGUAUUAGGUCCGACUGGGGGCCUUGUCCCAGUUUUGCUCUAGACUUAUGAUUGAUCUUGUAAUGUUAGAGAUUUCGCGGACGGGUGUCAGAUAUUGUUAGAUGUUUUUGGGUUUCAUUUUGUACUGUUCAGUUGAAGCUAGAAAUGACCAUGAUUCCAUUUGUAUUAUUUUCCACAUUUUCCUUAUUGUAUAUGAAUAUUGUGCA